rnacentral:rRNA from 1 species
GACGAACGCUGGCGGCGUGCUUAACACAUGCAAGUCGAGCGGUAAGGCCCUUUCGGGGGUACGACGAGCGGCGAACGGGUGAGUAACACGUGGGUGACCUGCCCUCAGCUCUGGGAUAAGCCUGGGAAACUGGGUCUAAUACUGGAUAUGACUCCACGGUGCAUGUCGGUGGGGUGGAAAGCCUUGUGCGGCUGAGGAUGGGCCCGCGGCCUAUCAGCUUGUUGGUGGGGUGANGGCCUACCAAGGCGACGACGGGUAGCCGGCCUGAGAGGGCGACCGGCCACACUGGGACUGAGACACGGCCCAGACUCCUACGGGAGGGCAGCAGGUGGGGAAUCUUGCGCAAUGGGCGAAAGCCUGACGCAGCGACGCCGCGUGAGGGAUGACGGCCU